CGAGUCCGAUAAAUGAUCGCGCCGUCUCAGACGAAAGGGAGGCGGUGAGGAAAGUCCGGGCUUCACAGGGCAGGAUGCCGGAUAACGUCCGGUGGAGGUGACUCCAAGGAAAGUGCAACAGAAAUAUACCGCCAGAUUCGUCUGGUAAGGGUGGAAAGGUGAGGUAAGAGCUUACCGGUCUUCUGGUAACAGAAGGCGUCCCUGUAAACCCCAUCCGAAGCAAGGCCGGAUAGGAGAGUAUAGCUUGGCCCGAGUUUCUCCAGGUUGGCCGCUAAAGCCUGUUGGCAACAGCAGGAAGAGAUAGAUGAUCAUUCGCGACAUAACCCGGCUUAUCGUCAGGCUCGCAUA
rnacentral:RNase_P_RNA from 1 species